GAACCUGGUGGUUGCCAUGGUUACCAGCAGAGCAUCCCCCAGCGCUGGCUUAAAGCCUCCCAGCUCCAGCCAGCAGCAAGUCCCUACAGGAGAGCAUCCACACACAGUGUCCAGGGGGAGAACAUCGAGGGAAAUAAGGCAGUGAGCAGAGCAGGAGAGCCUGCAGCCGGCAGCGGAUGAGCUCGGGCGACAGCACCCAAUUAUUGCAGCUCAGCGGGGGAAAAGGGAAAGAAAGGAAGGAAAGAAAGAGCAAUUAUCGGGACCUCGUCUGUGGCGCGGCACAGGGCUGCAAUUUCAAACCAGGCUGAGUUUGCCCGGCCCUUCUCUCACUCCCAGCACUGAGCACAUGACAGCUCACAUUUAUUUUUCAAUGGGCAGCCACCCAUCUCUGCCCUUCAGCUCCAGGCCUGGCUCCUUGUGCCCAUCCAGCGCCGCAUCCACAUCCAGCACCACGCAGAGCAGUUUCCUGCAGGAAAACCACAGACUUCCAAGGGCUGCAG
ensembl:lncRNA